GGUGAGUAAUGUCUGGGAAACUGCCUGAUGGAGGGGGAUAACUACUGGAAACGGUAGCUAAUACCGCAUAACGUCGCAAGACCAAAGAGGGGGACCUUCGGGCCUCUUGCCAUCGGAUGUGCCCAGAUGGGAUUAGCUAGUAGGUGGGGUAACGGCUCACCUAGGCGACGAUCCCUAGCUGGUCUGAGAGGAUGACCAGCCACACUGGAACUGAGACACGGUCCAGACUCCUACGGGAGGCAGCAGUGGGGAAUAUUGCACAAUGGGCGCAAGCCUGAUGCAGCCAUGCCGCGUGUAUGA
rnacentral:rRNA from 1 species